UGAAGAAAGAAGAUUUUAGAAGAACAAAAUUAGUUGUUAAAGCCAACGGUGGGCAUAUUACGCUAAAAAGCUCGAGAAACUAGCCAAGGUGAUAGCUAUUUUGUGAGUUCCUCGGGCACUGACAAGAGUACAUGCCUACUAAUACAAGUCAAUGGCGAUGGAAUCGACGAAGUGAACCAUUUACUUUUAUUAGAGUUUAUUAUGGAUUAGAAGUGUCAUUUUUUUCUUUUUCGUCCAUAUCUUUCAUAAAUUUUUUUAUAAC
rnacentral:sRNA from 1 species